rnacentral:rRNA from 1 species
CAGUAGCCGCGGGAAUACAGAGGGUGCGAGCGUUAAUCGGAUUUACUGGGCGUAAAGCGUGCGUAGGCGGCUUCUUAAGUCGGAUGUGAAAUCCCUGAGCUUAACUUAGGAAUUGCAUUCGAUACUGGGAAGCUAGAGUAUGGGAGAGGAUGGUAGAAUUCCAGGUGUAGCGGUGAAAUGCGUAGAGAUCUGGAGGAAUACCGAUGGCGAAGGCAGCCACCUGGCCUAAUACUGACGCUGAGGUACGAAAGCAUGGGGAGCAAACAGGAUUAGAUACCCCAGUAGUCCCUGUCUCUUAUAC